GUGGCGUGAUGAACGUGUUUAUCCAUUCGCUGAGCGCCGCUGGUUCUGUCCCUCGCCGGCCGUACGGUCCGUUCUGGGCCGUGGGGUUACAGUGGUCUGGUUCUGCUCGGCUUCUCCAAUGUUCUAUUGGGUCGACCGCGGCGGGAUCUGACACACUGGUGCGAGGGUCAGGCCGGCUCUGACAAAGACGAAUAGACGUGUCUGAUCAC
rnacentral:snoRNA from 1 species